GCUCUCGCGCACUUCUUCUCAGUACUGUCUGUGUACAUUCGCUCAGCUGUUCUCUGGCCCGAAGCAAUCGCGAUUCGUCCGAUUGCACAAAUUUUCGAAGCUUUGGAGUUUAUUUUUAGUAUCAGUGCCAUGUCGUUUUGGUACGAUCCUCGUGGAUUUUUGCUGCGUAAGAGCACGUUGCACAUUCUCUGAUUUGGUCGAUAUGAGAAAACGUUUUCUUCAUUGACAGACCUCGUUCGCCAGUCACCACGGACAUCAGAAAUUUGACAUUAAUACGGGAUCGAUGCGCACCGAAAAUUGACGUUUAAUUUCGAUCGUAACGCUUAAAAACCAAUCAUGAAGAAAACACGCUCAAACAUAUUUCGUGACAUUUAUUACCAGCCGUACAAUGAUUAUACCAGAUUGAAGCUUUACUCCAGCAGUAAAGCAAGCCUUCAAAUGAUGCAACGUAUGGCAUUAUUGAAACGAUUAAAAGUUCAUAAUGGUUGUGUAAACUCUGUGUGUUGGAACUCUACUGGAGAACUGAUAUUGUCUGGUAGCGACGACCAGCAUCUUGUUCUUACAAAUGCUUAUAAUUAUGAGGUAUUAACAGACUAUAAGACCAGUCAUAGAGCAAAUAUAUUUAGUGCAAAAUUUUUGCCUAAUAGUUGUGAUCAUCGGAUAGUUUCUUGUAGUGGUGAUGGCAUUAUUUUGUAUACAGAUUUACUAAGAGGAACGAAAACAUUUAAUAAUCAAUUUAAUUGUCAUGUCGGUACUACGUACGAAAUAGCGACAAUACCUGGUGAACCGUAUAAUUUUUUAAGCUGUGGAGAAGACGGUACUGUAAGAUGGUUUGAUCUUAGAAUAAAGGACAAGUGUAAUGCCUCAAGGUGUAUGGAGGAUGUGUUAGUUUCUUGUGAAAGAGCUGUAACUGCUCUGUCUGUAAAUCUUGCUUCACCUCAUCAAAUAGCAAUAGGUUGUUCUGAUGGUACUGUUAGAAUACUUGAUAGAAGAACACUUGGAACUCCAGCUACUGGGUGGACAGAUACACCUGGAGCGGUGAAGGCCUUAUGCACUUUCACAGUGCCGGAAUUCGAAGGGAAUUCUUACAGAAUAACAUCUUUGAAUUAUAGCCCAGAUGGGCAGGAUGUUCUUGUUAGUUAUAGCAGCGAUCAUCUUUAUCUGUUUAAUGUAAAGGACCAAGCUAGUGUACAGUUAAAGAAAGACGUCGCAGUUAGAAAAGGUGAAAGUAAGAAGCAAAGAUUACGCUCGCCACUACCAGUGCGUAGAUUAAGACUUCGAGGAGAUUGGUCCGAUACUGGCCCCGAUGCUCGGCCUGAAUGCGAGGGCGGUCGACGUAGUGGUACAGAAAUUGCUCAAGCCAGACCUGUUCUUCAAACUUCAUUGAUGCAAAGAAUGACGGAUGUUCUCAGUAGAAUGUUGAAUGAUCCAGCCACUAGAGCUGCAUUAUGCGGCGGCGGCGAAGAUAGUUUAGAAGGCGUGAUCGAUCAACAAGAUAACACUCAAAAUACCAAUGAAAACGUUACGGAGUCAAAUGAAGAGAGACAAGACAACGAAACUGAAAGAGUUGAAAGACCUCUGACUGAGGCUAAUCAAGAAAGAGCUGUUCCAGAACAACAGAUUGACAGUUUAGAAAGUCCAGGUACUAGCGGUACACAGAGUAAACCUGGGACGAGUUUUUCUGCAGAAACGAAAGAAGAAAUGUCCAGUGAAACCAUGCCUUCGAAUCAAAUGACCGACGGGAGUUCGUCGCCAGUCGAAUCCAAAUCACAUGUUCCUAUGGAAACUGAAUCUAGUCAUGUAGAAACGGAACUUUGUUCUGUUCAACCGUGUUCAUCGCGUACUAUCGAUAAGACUAAUGAUCUACCGGAAGAUGAUCAAAGUAGCAAUGAUGAUUCUCCUUGUAGCAGUAUGGAGACUAAACAAGAAGGUCACAUGAUGGAAAACCUUCAAGAUAGACUGACGAAAAUGAGAGUCGGAUUCCUUGAAAAGCAUGGUAGUGAACCUGCUGUAAGUUUAACUUAUACGGAUAAAAGUUCAACAAGUGCAACGAUAUCUCUUGGUGUAGCUGAUGAGAUGAUCCGUGAUGGUUAUCAUGCGGGACCAUCUGGAAGUAGUGGAACAUUCUCGGGCAGACAUCAUGACAAACAUAUACGAUAUAGUGAUACGCAAGAAAAGACUGAUGAAAGCGCUUUUAGUGAUAGUGACGAUGAAGAUAUACAAGCUGAUGGAAGAUUAGGAAGUUCAGCAGAAACAGAAAUGGAAGAGGCCAUGGGAGAUGUUCGAAUGCGCCGAGGAUCAGUGAGUUUCGAUAAAACAUGUGCAACGGAGCUUCGUGUCAAGCAGAAAUACAUGGGACACCGUAACGCUAGUUUCUUUAGGACCAUGAUUAAAGAAGCAAACUUUUGGGGCAACGAUUUCGUCAUGUCGGGUAGCGAUUGCGGCCACGUGUUCGUGUGGGAGAAAGACACGGCGAAAUUGUGUAUGUUACUGGAAGCAGAUCAACACGUCGUUAACUGUUUGCAACCACAUCCGUAUUUGCCGCUGCUCGCAACAGCUGGCAUUGAUUACGACGUUAAAUUAUGGGCACCGAUAAACGUGGAGUCCAGUUUUGAUGAAAAGUUUGCAGAAGAUCUGAAAAAGAGGAACGCAGUCAUGUUGGAAGAGACGAAAGACACAAUGACUGUACCGGCUGUAUUUAUGAUCAGAAUGCUGGCAUGUCUGAAUCAGAUACGCAGAGGUAGUGAAAACUUAUAAUACUUUCCAAGAUUUUCCGAUAGUACGCUACAUUAGUAUGACCAACGUAAUUAAGAGUAAAGUACUGAAGAAAUUCGGCUGCUUUUCCCGUUUAACGUGCAGGACGCGGUCGGAACCGGAGGAGGAACGGCGACGAGACCGGCGAAUUACGAGGUGGCUAAGCUGUUUCCGGCGAUACUGUCGUCUGUGAAGAUCUGAGAAUUCAAUUGGGACAAUCUUUACUGCGACGCCGGCUGAUCAGAGUUCGAGUUUGUCCUCAAACUAAAAAAAAAAAAGAAAAAAAAAUCAAACAAAGAAAAAACGACAAAAAAAGAGAAAAAGAACAGAAAC